GAUGAACGCUAGCGGCAGGCCUAACACAUGCAAGUCGAGGGGUAACUAGAGUGAUAGCAAUAUUACUUUGGCUAGACCGGCGCACGGGUGCGUAACACGUAUGCAACCUACCUUAUACUGGGGAAUAACUUCGAGAAAUCGGCGCUAAUACCCCAUAACACUGCGGAGAGGCAUCUCUUUGCAGUUAAAGCUCCGGCGGUAUAAGAUGGGCAUGCGUCCAAUUAGCUAGUUGGUGAGGUAACGGCUCACCAAGGCUACGAUUGGUAGGGGUUCUGAGAGGAUGAUCCCCCACACUGGUACUGAGACACGGACCAGACUCCUACGGGAGGCAGCAGUGAGGAAUAUUGCGCAAUGGACGAAAGUCUGACGCAGCCAUGCCGCGUGCAGGAUGACGGCCCUAUGGGUUGUAAACUGCUUUUGUACGGGAAUAGACCCUUCCACGUGUAGGAGGCUGAAGGUACCGUAAGAAUAAGCACCGGCUAACUCCGUGCCAGCAGCCGCGGUAA
rnacentral:rRNA from 1 species